UGGGGAAUAUUGCACAAUGGGGGAAACCCUGAUGCAGCGACGCCGCGUGGAGGAAGAAGGUCUUCGGAUUGUAAACUCCUGUUGUUGAGGAAGAUAAUGACGGUACUCAACAAGGAAGUGACGGCUAACUACGUGCCAGCAGCCGCGGUAAAACGUAGGUCACAAGCGUUGUCCGGAAUUACUGGGUGUAAAGGGAGCGCAGGCGGGCAGACAAGUUGGAAGUGAAAUCCAUGGGCUCAACCCAUGAACUGCUUUCAAAACUGUAUGUCUUGAGUAGUGCAGAGGUAGGCGGAAUUCCCGGUGUAGCGGUGGAAUGCGUAGAUAUCGGGAGGAACACCAGUGGCGAAGGCGGCCUACUGGGCACCAACUGACGCUGAGGCUCGAAAGUGUGGGUAGCAAACAGGAUUAGAUACCCUGGUAGUCCACACCGUAAACGAUGAUUACUAGGUGUUGGAGGAUUGACCCCUUCAGUGCCGCAGUUAACACAAUAAGUAAUCCACCUGGGGAGUACGACCGCAAGGUUGAAACUCAAAGGAAUUGACGGGGGCCCGCACAAGCAGUGGAGUAUGUGGUUUAAUUCGACGCAACGCGAAGAACCUUACCAAGUCUUGACAUCCUGCGACGGUACUGGAAACAGUACUUUCCUUCGGGACGCAGAGACAGGUGGUGCAUGGUUGUCGUCAGCUCGUGUCGUGAGAUGUUGGGUUAAGUCCCGCAACGAGCGCAACCCUUAUGGUCAGUUACUACGCAAGAGGACUCUGGCCAGACUGCCGUUGACAAAACGGAGGAAGGUGGGGAUGACGUCAAAUCAUCAUGCCCUUUAUGACUUGGGCUACACACGUACUACAAUGGCGUUAAACAAAGAGAAGCAAGACCGCGAGGUGGAGCAAAACUCAGAAACAACGUCCCAGUUCGGACUGCAGGCUGCAACUCGCCUGCACGAAGUCGGAAUUGCUAGUAAUCGCAGAUCAGAAUGCUGCGGUGAAUACGUUCCC
rnacentral:rRNA from 1 species